rnacentral:rRNA from 1 species
AUGGAUCACCGCUUUAGUGAAGGAGCUAAUGGUGUGCUUGAUUGCUUCUCAUGUCUUGACCCCAAUAAUUCUUUCUCCAAGUUUAAUGUUGAUAAGCUUGCGCGUCUUGCUGAAAUUUAUCAUGAUGAUUUUUCCAAUGAUGACCGUGGAACAAUAAGAGAGCAACUUCUCACAUAUAUAAGUCAAGUGAAAAGGCAUGCUUCUUUUUCUACUUGUGAUGAUGUUCAAAGUUUGGCCAUGAAGAUGGUUGAAACUGAGAAACAUUUGGUAUUUCCGUUGGUAUACAAACUUAUUGAGUUGGCGUUGAUAUUGCCGGUGUCAACGGCAUCUGUUGAGAGAGCUUUUUCAGCAAUGAAGAUUAUAAAGACUAAACUGCAUAGUAAGAUCAAUAAUGAAUGGUUCAAUGACUUGAUGAUAUGUUACAACGAGCAGGAGUUAUUCAAGUCAGUUGAUGAUAAGGAUAUUAUUCGAACAUUUACUGCAAUGAGGUCUCGGAAAGGGCAUUUGCCUCGACCUUUACAAAAAUGA